UACAGAGGGGGCAAGCGUUAUUCGGAAUUAUUGGGCGUAAAGGGCGCGUAGGCGGCCUGGCAAGUGGAAGGUGAAAUCCCUCGGCUUAACCGAGGAACUGCCUCCCAAACUGCUUGGCUUGAGACCGGGAGAGGUGAGUGGAAUUCCCAGUGUAGCGGUGAAAUGCGUAGAUAUUGGGAGGAACACCAGUGGCGAAGGCAGCCCCCUGGGCUGAGAUUGACGCUCAGGCACGAAAGCGUGGGGAGCAAACAGG
rnacentral:rRNA from 1 species